rnacentral:rRNA from 1 species
GACGAACGCUGGCGGCGUGCCUAAUACAUGCAAGUCGAACGCAGUGGGGACGGGUGAGUAACACGUGGGUAACCUCCCAUCAGAGGGGAUAACACUUGGAAACAGGUGCUAACCCGCUACUGAUGGAUGGACCCGCGGUGCAGUAGCUAGUGGGGGAGGGAACGGCUCACCAAGGCCACGAUGCAUAGCCGACCGGAUAGGGUGAUCGGCCACACUGGGACUGAGAAACGGCCCAGACUCCUACGGGAGGCAGCAGUAGGGAAUCUUCGGCAAGGGACGAAAGUCUGACCGAGCAACGCCGCGUGAGUGAAGAAGGUUUUCGGAUCGUAAAACUCUGUUGUUAGAGAAGCGGUAUCUAACCAGAAAGCCACGGCUAACUACGUGCCAGCAGCCGCGGUAAUUC